CAGAUCCGACCUGCCGUGUAAGAAAUUAACGAUUUGCAGAGCAAAUACCUCUUUAUGGUCAAUUAUCAGGAGCAAUUGGUUUCGGAUGGAAGCAACUGCCGAUCAUGCGAUCCACCGAUUUCAGCAAUUUUUUAAAAAUCAUACGUUUUACUUGUCCUCUUCUCGGCGGCCACCUUGUGACACGAUUAUUCAUCAUCGCCGGCGGGUUCUGCAUUUUCCGAUGAGAUGGAUUUGUUAUUUGGAAGGAAUAAUAAUUAGAAAGAGGCAAGUGGGAAUGGAAGUGAAGUAGAAACAG
rnacentral:lncRNA from 1 species